CCCUUUUCUCUAUAACACAUCCUCCAGGAAGAGUUGGGAACAGGGAGCUAAGGAGAAAGGUGUCCCUUUCCCGAGGCCCCGGUGAAGGCCACUUGCAGCUCUCCCUCUGACUGCUUGCAGAGAUAACAUCAGUUUGUGCAGAGCAGGGAGGGGAAGGAGUCAGGUUUCCCCAGAGGCUGUUUCCCAGGUGGAUCAUCCUGGGGAAGCCAACUCCAUAACACAGAUUCUUUGCUUUUACUGGAAGGAAGCUGCUGCCUGUCAGGCAGAUGUGCUGCUUUGAACUGGGUGAGUGCUCCCUCCUGGUGAGGAAUAUGCUGGAGCUGGGGUUGGGCAGCGAGUCAGGAUGGGAGGAAGCAAGGAGGAGUGGUUUACAGAAAGUAUUUCUGUGUAAGGGAUACCACAGUUGGAAGUUCCCUCUGGAUACCCAUGGGACUUGAACUCACGCUGCAUCAGGGCUUCCUGAGCUCCUCAGGGACAUCAGGUCACCAACUCCUUGUUUAGGAUGGACUCUCCCUGUGGGGACAGGGAAGGAACUGGAGCUGAAGUAGAUGUGAGAGGUGAAGGUGGCAGACUGUUGGGGCUCUGGAGAAUCUUCCAGACAUUCCUGCUGCCUCUCCCAGCAGACUAUGCCAAUGAAUGAAUCAGAAAGCUUGAAGAGGGAAGCAAAAGAUGAAAGAAAUCCUGGGACCACGCAGCUUCAGAGGGCUGGAUGCCACAGUCCCCAGGCUCGGGAAUGAACGCCUUAGCUGGAGCUUGGGGGCUUGGUGUCCCUGGACUACCCACACCGUAGCUCCAGGCAGGUUGCUAUGCAUGCUCACGUCAUCAUCCAUAUUCAGUUUCAUCAAUUACACUCAGUAAUAUCCUUGACAACUAUUUUUUUCCUCAAUUCAGGAUUUAAUCCAGGAUCACACAUUGCAUUUGGUUGUUAUUGUCUCUUCAGUUUCUUUUAAAUUGGGCAAAUCCUUAACCUUCUUUGUGUUUUAUGACCUUGACUUUUUUUGUGUGUGGCAAAAAAGUUCAAAUUAUACCUUGACAUUUUAAAAUAGUACAGGUCAAUUAUUAAGUAACAUUUCUUGUGAUUAAAUUCAGGUUAUGGGUUUUGGGCAGGACACUGGGGAGAUGCUGUGACCUUCUCAGAACACUGUAUCAAAGAUAUACAUGAGGUUGGCCUAUUCCAACACUGGGGACGUUAACUUUUUUUUUUUUUUUUUUAGAUGGAGUUUCACUCUUGUUGCCCAGGCUGGGGUGCAAUGGCGCAGUCUUGGCUCACUACAACCUCCAUCACCCGGGUUCAAGCGUUUCUCCUUCCGCAGCCUCCCAAGUAGCUGGGAUUACAGGCGCCUGCCACCAAGCCUGGCUAAUUUUUUGUAUUUUUAGUAGAGACGGGGUUUCGCCAUGUUGGCCAGGCUGGUCUCGAACUCCUGACCUCAGGUGAUCCACCAGCCUUGGCCUCCCAAAGUGUUGGGAUUACAGACGUCAGCCACUGCCCCCAGCCAGCGGACGUUAACUUUUGAUCACUGGUUAAGGUAGUAGCCUUCAGGUUUCAUCACUGUAAAGUUACUAUGUUUCCUCUUUGCAAUUAAUAAGUAAUUUAUGGGGAGAUGCCUUAAGACUUUGUAAAUAUCCUGUUUCUCAUCAAACUUUUAACCACCAGUUUAAAUAUCCACUGAUGAUUUUGUAACAUCGUUAUUCCUUGUUAAUUUACUAGUUAACAUUCUACUGUAAGAAGAGCUUUUCCUUGACCUUCUCAUGUAUGCAUAAAUGGAUGGAUGGAUAUCAGUAUGAACUUGUAGACUGUUAUUUUAUUAGUGGGUUAUAAUCCAUUAUUAUUAGCAUUUAUUUAUUGCUCAAACUGUCACAGAUUUGGCUGGUGGGUGUGGUGUGGGUUUUCGUUUUGUU
rnacentral:lncRNA from 1 species